AAGACACCAAGCCAGAAUUCACACCCAAGCUGCGGUGGAAUCUGCUCCUAUUCCUGAGGGCAAACUGGAGGGGGGUUCAUCAGGGGUAGGUGCCAUGAAAAAUCAAGGGCGAGGGGCGAGGUGGACUGAGCCGCUCCCAGUGUGGCACGACGGGACAGGAUGAGGCGGCGACUGGAGGUAGAAGGGACAGGACUUGGCUGCUGAUUCCAUGUGAAGGAGCUGCUCACGGUGCCACAUUUCCAGCUCGCAUGGUCCAGUCCCUGGCUGGAAACUAGCAGGCACGCGUGGAGGUGCAGAGGCAAGGAGCUGAAGUGUCCUCGGGGGAUCUGGGUGAGCUACAGUAGGAAGUGUAGUAAGUGGGACCGGGCGGCCACUGGGACAGGGGCGAUGACGGAAGAUGGCGGGAGGGAAGCCAGAGGCGUGAACAGUGAGGCCCAGGGGCCAGCCGAGUGCCUAAGGAGGGCUGCGGUCAGAGAAGGGGGUCAGAGAGACGGAAAGGAGCAUCCCCAGGAGGGGCCCUCAACACUGCCAGGCCCUGGGACUGGGUCCAAUGGAGGUCUGAGGGCCGCCGCUGGGACACUGAUGUGGACACCGUGCCUACGUCCCACGGACAACUAGAGCAGAGACCUCCGACAUACCACGCGGCUUUCACUCAGUGGUGUCUCCUCUUUAUGCAGAGAGCAUCAGUGAUGUCACGUUUGGAGCAGGGGUCAGUUACAUCGGGACACCACGGACUCCUUCGUCAGCCAAAGGAGCCCAAAGCUGGGACACUACAUGGAAGACACCAGUGUCCCUGGAGUGCCCACCUGAGAGCUGUGCUGGAUGAAGCAAGGGCUACGUGAGUAAAGCUCACUGGGGCACAGCCACUGCCAGGGCCCAACGAUGGCAGGGCCUCCUGGCAGGCAGCGAGGCAACACUGAGCUAGAGCGGGGGCGCCUGGCGCAGCCCCAGGAGCUGACUGGCGUCUGUGUAUGUACAUCUGAGGGCUUCUGGGUGGCCUCUGGGUACAGACUGUCCUAGUCAUCUCAGGAAGAGGCAGUUCAAAGCUAACCUGAGAGGUUUCUUUUGAAGAGAUGCAAACUGAUUUCAACAUUGCUCAAUUGGAAUUUUUAAAGGUUUCCUAAGCAACUAUGGUCUGAUGUGUAGACAGCAUAAGUUCCCUUGUGAAAAAGGCUAAAACUUGUGUGAGAAAAUGAACAUCGCAGUAAGCUUCCAUG
rnacentral:sRNA from 1 species